UAGUUGGUGGGGUAAAGGCUCACCAAGCCAACGAUCUGUAGCUGGUCUGAGAGGACGACCAGCCACACUGGAACUGAGACACGGUCCAGACUCCUACGGGAGGCAGCAGUGGGGAAUUUUGGACAAUGGGCGCAAGCCUGAUCCAGCCAUUCCGCGUGCAGGAUGAAGGCCUUCGGGUUGUAAACUGCUUUUGUACGGAACGAAACGGCGAGCUCUAAUACAGUUUGCUAAUGACGGUACCGUAAGAAUAAGCACCGGCUAACUACGUGCCAGCAGCCGCGGUAAUACGUAGGGUGCAAGCGUUAAUCGGAAUUACUGGGCGUAAAGCGUGCGCAGGCGGUUAUAUAAGACAGAUGUGAAAUCCCCGGGCUCAACCUGGGAACUGCAUUUGUGACUGUAUGGCUAGAGUACGGCAGAGGGGGAUGGAAUUCCGCGUGUAGCAGUGAAAUGCGUAGAUAUGCGGAGGAACACCGAUGGCGAAGGCAAUCCCCUGGGCCUGUACUGACGCUCAUGCACGAAAGCGUGGGGAGCAAACAGGAUUAGAUACCCUGGUAGUCCACGCCCUAAACGAUGUCAACUGGUUGUUGGGUCUUCACUGACUCAGUA
rnacentral:rRNA from 1 species